UACGUAGGGUCCAAGCGUUAUCCGGAAUUACUGGGCGUAAAGCGUCUGUAGGCGGCUUAAUAAGUCAGGUGCGAAAUCUUGCGGCUCAACCGUAUAGACUGUGCUUGAAACUAUUUAGCUAGAGGUAGGUAGAGGCAAGUGGAAUUUCUGGUGUAGGAGUGACAUCCGUAGAUAUCAGAAGGAACACCAAUGGCGAAGGCAGCUUGCUGGGCCUUACCUGACGCUCAGAGACGAAAGCGUGGGGAGCGAACGGG
rnacentral:rRNA from 1 species